CAUAUUGGAAAUUCAAAUUUGUUUGGAUCAUGGUUUAGUUAUUCAUUCGUAAGUAGUUUAAAUGCUAGCUGGAAGCAUUACCCUUUUUCAUGAACUAAAAAACUGAAGUAAAAAUUAAGGCAAAUUGGCGGUAUUUUUCUACUACGCUUACUCUAUCCAGUUAUCAUGUUCGCUAAAAGGUAUAAUAAGAAGCAACCUGCAACGUUAAAUAAUAAAUACUUAUGAAAUGAUUCAUGA